rnacentral:rRNA from 1 species
GACGAACGCUGGCGGCGUGCUUAACACAUGCCAGUCGAACGGAAAGGCCCCCAUCUUGGUGGGGGUGCUCGAGUGGCGAACGGGUGAGUAACACGUGGGUGAUCUGCCCUGUACUUCGGGAUAAGCUUGGGAAACUGGGUCUAAUACCGGAUAGGACCAUGGUUUAGUGUCUCAUGGUGGAAAGAUUAUUGUUUUGGUGCAGGAUGAGCUCGCGGCCUAUCAGCUUGUUGGUGGGGUAAUGGCCUACCAAGGCGUCGACGGGUAGCCGGCCUGAGAGGGUGGACGGCCACAUUGGGACUGAGAUACGGCCCAGACUCCUACGGGAGGCAGCAGUGGGGAAUAUUGCACAAUGGGCGCAAGCCUGAUGCAGCGACGCCGCGUGGGGGAUGACGGCCUUCGGGUUGUAAACUCCUUUCGUUAGGGACGAAGCCGCACUUUUUUGGGGUGUGGUGACGGUACCUUUGUGAAGAAGCACCGGCUAACUACGUG